rnacentral:rRNA from 1 species
UACGUAGGGGGCAAGCGUUGUCCGGAUUCAUUGGGCGUAAAGAGCGUGUAGGCGGCCAGGUAGGUCGGUUGUGAAAACUGGAGGCUCAACCUUCAGACGUCGACCGAAACCAUCUGGCUAGAGUCCGGGAGAGGAGAGUGGAAUUCCUGGUGUAGCGGUGAAAUGCGCAGAUAUCAGGAAGAACACGCGUGGCGAAAGCGGCUCUCUGGAACGGUACUGACGCUGAGACGCGAAGGCGUGGGGAGCGAAAAGG